GUAGUCUCGCACAGAUGCAUAUCAAUAAGCGGAGGAAAAGAAACUAACAAGGAUUCCCUCAGUAACGGCGAGUGAAGCGGGAAGAGCUCAAAUUUGAAAUCUUGAAAGGUCACCUUUCACGAAUUGUAGUUUAAAGAAGUGUUUUCUGUUACGAUCGUAAUAUAAGUUCUUUGGAAUAGGACAUCACAGAGGGUGAGAAUCCCGUCUAUGAUUGCGAUUUGUAGCUUUGUGAUACACUUUCAAAGAGUCGGGUUGUUUGGGAAUGCAGCCCAAAACGGGAGGUAAAUUUCUUCUAAGGCUAAAUAUUGGCGAGAGACCGAUAGCGAACAAGUACCGUGAGGGAAAGAUGAAAAGAACUUUGAAAAGAGAGUUAAACAGUACGUGAAAUUGUCAAAAGGGAAGCGUUUGACACCAGUGUUGUUUUCUCGAAAAUCAAUUAACGAAUGGCUUAGAUUUUGUUGUUGUAUUGACCUUAAUCAGCUUGCAUUCACUUUUUCUGAGUCUUUCUUAAUGCACUUUUCGUUAACAAGUCAACAUCAGUUUCUUUUGUUGUAAAAAGGUCAUUGGAAGGUGGCUUUCUUUUCGGAGAAAGUGUUUAUAGCCUUUGACUCCUGCAAUCGGAGAGAUUGAGGUCUGCAGCGUAGAUCCUUCGGGGUUAGAUACAUUUGUGCUAAGUUUUAGCUUUUCAUAGACAACUUGUUGACUAUGAUUAGUCAUGUCGCUUACUCGCUUAUGCUAUUUUACCUACGCUUAGGAUGUUGAAGAUGUAGCACAUCAU
rnacentral:rRNA from 1 species